rnacentral:lncRNA from 1 species
CCCAUGGCAUUUUAAGGAGCUUUCUCUGGUUAUAGAGCUGCGGGUUCGCCAGCAAACACGGUGCCACCCCUGAGCUGUGCACAACCAAGAUCUGAGGGCACCGCACCCCGGCCACGCAGCGCUCCCUCCCGCGUUCCUUCCCCCAUUCGCUCCCCAGCGCUACCUCUCUUCCCACCCUAAGCAUCUCACACACAAACAAGUCGUAUCCAACCAAUCUGGCAGCGGCACUGCAGGCCCCGGGGAAGCGAUCCUGUGUGUUUGCAGUAACUUAAUCUGCCAUUUCAACGGGACGCUGCUCGGGCACGACGCUGUCCCCCAACGUUUGCGCAGGAGCCGGGCAUUGUUCGGCAGCUGCCACGCUCUGCUCGGCCCCGUUGCGUUUUGGGGACCAUUAAAUCAUUUCUUUACGUGCAAAAACCGCCAAAGAAGUAACUCUAACAGAAGUACCAGCAGGCCUGGAUGUUGCAGAGACCGUCAGAAAAACAAAACCACACACGUGCAGCUGCGAUAAAAACGGGCGACGUCGGCCAAACAAAGCAAACUCCCGAGCGAGGCCCAGAGAAAACAGCGCUCAGCCGGGAAACCUCCAAGACAAGGGGACGGGAUUUAAGGAGAAGAAGGAGCGCCAGGUUACGGGAUCCUGCCUCCAGAGGGGCUGCAACGUGCCGCCUUCCCCAUCAAACCACGACCCUGAGAGCCGAGCCCUGGGCUGCACGGAGCGCCAGUGCCGUGCGGAGCCUCUAGAAAAAGAGGUGAUACAGAGACAUAGCGCAACGGUUCACUUUAUUGGGAAUUCAGGGCAGAAAAGCGGCACCUCUGCCCCCCUCGUGCAAACCUUCACUAGCACAGGCAAAAGGCUCCAAAGUUCCAAAGGAAAAGGACCACAGAGAUCAAAGCGCUAGGAGAGAGCUCCCUACGGCGGUGGGCACCACGAGCCCCGCGGCGCGGGGCACGAGCUCGGAUUUCCUGCGGAGCGCACAGCGCGGCUGCGGGGCGAACCCCGCGUGCGUGCGGUGCGGGGCCCGGAACCCCGAACCGGGACGGGGAACCCCACGGCCCUCGGCCCCGGGGCAGCAACACCGCGCGGUCCCGGGCAGCUCCGCGGGCACACGGCGGGGCCGCGCCUCCGAGCCCUUUGUGCUCUCCCGAUGCCCGCCGCCCCAGGCCGCGGGGAGCCGCCCGGGCAUAGCGCGGUCCACUGCUGGCGCGGGGACGGCCCCAGGCCCCCGGCGGGACCCGCAGACCGCGGUCCGAAGCCGCGGCGCACAAUAGGGGCGGCCCCACGGGGAGGGCCCGGCCCGGGCCCCUCCGC